rnacentral:rRNA from 1 species
UGGGGAAUUUUGGACAAUGGGGGCAACCCUGAUCCAGCCAUGCCGCGUGAGUGAAGAAGGCCUUCGGGUUGUAAAGCUCUUUCGGACAGAAAGAAAUCGUACGGGUUAAUACCCUGUAUGGAUGACGGUACUGUAAGAAGAAGCACCGGCUAACUACGUGCCAGCAGCCGCGGUAAUACGUAGGGUGCGAGCGUUAAUCGGAAUUACUGGGCGUAAAGAGUGCGUAGGCGGUCUGUGAAGUCAGAUGUGAAAGCCCCGGGCUUAACCUGGGAAGUGCGUCUGAAACUGGCAGGCUAGAGUUUGGUAGAGGGGGGUAGAAUUCCUGGUGUAGCAGUGAAAUGCGUAGAGAUCAGGAGGAACACCGAUGGCGAAGGCAGCCCCCUGGACUAAAACUGACGCUCAGGCACGAAAGCAUGGGGAGCAAACAGGAUUAGAUACCCCCGUAGUCC